rnacentral:sRNA from 1 species
CCUCAUUCCAUUCUUUCUGGUUUCUCCCUCUCAUCUUCAUCCACUCUCCGAGGCUACUAUCAUUGGAGUAAUGGAAGGAAGAAGAGAUCUCAACAGGCGUGUGAGAGUCGAUGGACAAGUGCUAAUGAUGGUUUCACAAUUGAUAGGAAAUGAAGGUCUGCAGUAAUCAGCAAUAGCAGGAACUUUCCUAGUUGAUGAUUGUCCAUUUUACUUCUGUGUGCUUGAAAUUCUG